UUAGUUUAUCAUAAUCUGCAGGUGCAUGACUUUUUGACCCUAUACAAUGAAAUUGAUGUCCCUCCAAAGCGUUUGUUAUUUAAAAUUCCUUCAACUUGGCAAGGAAUAGAGGCCUCAAGGUUGCUGGAAUCUGAGGGCAUACAGACACAUUUGAC